GAUGAAGAACGUAGCGAAAUGCGAUAAGUAAUGCGAAUUGCAGAAUUCCAGUGAGUCAUCGAAUCUUUGAACGCACAUUGCGCCCUUUGGUAUUCCGAAGGGCAUGCCUGUUCGAGCGUCAUUAUCACCCCUCAAGCCCUCGGCUUGGUGUUGGGGCCUGCUGCACUGGCAGCCCUUAAAAUCAGUGGCGGCGCCAUCUGGCUCUAAGCGUAGUAAUUCUUCUCGCUAUGGAGUCCUGGUGGAUGCUUGCCAUCAACCCCCAAUUUUUCUAUGGUUGACCUCGGAUCAGGUAGGGAUACCCGCUGAACUUAAGCAUAUCAAUAAGCGGAGGA
rnacentral:misc_RNA from 1 species